CUUCAUACCUCAUUGAUUUUCCUGUGCCACGGUGCUUUUGCCCCAUAUAAAAUAAUUCAGACCACAUGUGCCCACGUAUGCCGCCUCGAAUGGGAAGAAGUAAAUGUCAGAGACAGUUAGUAGCGAGCGUAAGGCACGGUCCUUCAAAACAUGUAAGAAUGGAGAGAAAAGCAGGGGUGACUCAGCGUCAGAAAAGCCUUAACAAACCUAAUCACAUGAUACUGUUCUGCUGAGCUUUGCAAUGAUUCACACAAAGGUGCACUGUGCAAUACAUUUCUUAACGUCCUCUAGUUUGCUGCUUUCAGCACUAAAGAAACUAGAGAGCAGAUGCUGUGGACGUCACCUUUAAAGACUGCAUGUGUUUAAAUAAAGAAGCCUAACUCAUCACACAGGUAAACUUGUAAUUCCUCUCCAUGGAUGUUUGACAGGCAGAGCGAUGGGUGGCCGUGCACGGCGUGAAUCUGGAGCGUGCUAACCAAAGGAAAGCCUCAGGGCCACGCGAGAGGACCCGUGGAGCCACUCAAGUGAUCCCCGAGCCGCCGCAUACAGUCUGCCUUUUACCUCCUUAGGACAGCGAAUGAAGCCCAUAAAACGUCCGAUAGGGAGAAGGAACUGUCCGCUUGUCAGCAACAGGCUGAGGGGAGUCAGGGGAACAUCGGUGUUGAUGCUAGAGGGGUUACCAUCAGCUCUGAUGUCAGAAUGCUGUCUUUACUGGCUGUCCCUUCGCUGUGGACUUGGCUGGGCUCCCCGAUGAAAAUCCACAGCUUCAUCCAUCAGAGCAGCUAUACAUUAUGUCACUGAGUCAUUACGGCAUCUCAGGACAUGUCCUCUUCUGAACCCGGCUCCAGAAAGAGCAACUCGAUGGAGAGGUUAAGAGCAACAAAUUAUCAGAUUUCACAUACACCUCUGUGGCCUGGGUGUGUUAACAGAAGGAUGCGCCCGUGUUUGCCGUCGGUCCCUGGGUCAGACAGGAAGUUGGCCAGACUGCGGUCAGUCCGAGACCUUUCGACUGGGUGCGAGGAAGACCUGCUGACAUCACCGUUGCAGAAUUGGAGAGACACAAUUAGAAGCCCUGGCCGGAAAGCAGGUCUGACCGGCUGGACGCUGAGACGAGACAGGCUCGCCGGGCGGUUCCUCUCCCUCCUCGUCUCUGAAGGCCCCUUGGCGAGACGCAGGCGGCCCGGGACGUCAGGCCCAGGCGGAGAGGCAAUCUGUCUCAGCGCAGUUGGCUGACGGAACGAUCCAAACACGUGGCAUCUCUCUGCGCUGAGCCGCGCGUGCUCCCACAGGGAGAAACAGGAAGGUUGGCAGCAGGUACGGUGGUCUGAAAUCGGGACGCGGCCGCCCAGCAUUGUUGCUGCGUUCUUAGUAGUAGUGGGAAAAGUCUGGAGACUUUACUUACUGUACAUCUUUUGCAUUUCUACUGGCUUAAAAAGGAAUGAAACGAGCUGAGCUGUCAGUCAGAGUGAGCGUUGUGAGAUCUGACAAAGCAGCACCGGCUGAAAUUACAAAACGAGCCCCAGCCUCCUCUGUCAACAGAUUGAGACAAAUAGACGCAAAUGUGUUUUCCACAAUCCAUGGGGUCAAACGACAGUCCUGACUGCGUAUAAAUGCCUAUAUUUAGGACAGUGCCUUGUACUGCCUCUAGCACCACAUUAACCUGUGACCUCUAACUAGGCACUAAGCUCCUGGUGGUUUACAGCUGGGACGACUACCUUGUGGCCUCAGAGCGGUGAUAAUAUAUCAGUUGGAAAUACUUAACACAUGACUCAGGAGGGAGAUACUCUAAUCAGAAAACCACUGCAGUGGAGUUGAAACACUGUAGUCAUCAACAGCUCUUUGCUUUAAAGUGAUGUCUUCCUACUGAAUUAACAAUAAAUGUAAGUAAAUAAAUAAAACCA
ensembl:lncRNA